GUGCUCAUUUCAGCAGCACAGAUACUAAAAUUGGAAUGAUACAGAGAAGAUUAGCAUGGCCCCUGCGUACGGAUGACAUGCAAAUUCAUGAGGCAUUCCAUAUUUUU